UACAGAGGUCUCAAGCGUUGUUCGGCUUCAUUGGGCGUAAAGGGUGCGUAGGUGGCGCGGUAAGUCGGGUGUGAAAUUUCGGAGCUUAACUCCGAAACUGCAUUCGAUACUGCCGUGCUUGAGGACUGGAGAGGAGACUGGAAUUUACGGUGUAGCAGUGAAAUGCGUAGAGAUCGUAAGGAAGACCAGUGGCGAAGGCGGGUCUCUGGACAGUUCCUGACACUGAGGCACGAAGGCCAGGGGAGCAACCGGG
rnacentral:rRNA from 1 species